UACAGAGGGGGCAAGCGUUGUUCGGAAUUACUGGGCGUAAAGGGCGCGUAGGCGGCCCGCUAAGUCGAACGUGAAAUCCCCGAGCUCAACUCGGGAACUGCGUCCGAUACUGGCGGGCUUGAAUCCGGGAGAGGGAUGCGGAAUUCCAGGUGUAGCGGUGAAAUGCGUAGAUAUCAGGAAGAACACCCGUGGCGAAGGCGGCUCUCUGGGACGGUACUGACGCUGAGACGCGAAAGCGUGGGGAGCGAACAGG
rnacentral:rRNA from 1 species